GACGAACGCUGGCGGCGUGCCUAAUACAUGCAAGUCGAACGCAGUGGGGACGGGUGAGUAACACGUGGGUAACCUCCCAUCAGAGGGGAUAACCCUUGGAAACAGGUGCUAAACCGAUACUGAUGGAUGAACUCGCGGUGAAUUAGCUAGUGGGUGAGGUAACGGCUCACCAAGGCCACGAUGCAUAGCCGACCUGGGAGGAGGAUCGGCCACACGGGGACUGAGAAACGGCCCAGACUCCUACGGGAGGCAGCAGUAGGGAAUCUUCGGCAAUGGACGAAAGUCUGACCGAGCAACGCCGCGUGAGUGAAGAAGGUUUUCGGAUCGUAAAACUCUGUUGUUAGAGAAGCGGUAUCUAACCAGAAAGCAACGGCUAACUACGUGCCAGCAGCCGCGGUAAUUC
rnacentral:rRNA from 1 species